rnacentral:lncRNA from 10 species
GUUUCUCUGUUUCUCACUCUUCAAAGGAUAAAAGUCCUUUAGCUGAAAAUAAAACAUAUUGCAUUAUAUUUUAUUAAAAUAAUUAUUGUGGCGAAAAUAAAGGGUAUUACAUAACACUUUAUUAAAAUAAUUCUCUGCAAUUGAGAUUUAUAUUUUUUUCACUUCAGAAUACUUCUGCUUACUGUAAGCAUAAGUCCAAAACAAAUACACAAAGAAAGCAGCAGCCACCAUCUCCAAAUCUUAAUGUUGUGGUUUGAAAAUAUGUAUAUAAAUUCUUUGAUACACCUAUUUUCAAAGGGUGGAGCCUAAUGCCCUCCUCUUGAUGGAGGCUAGACUUAGUGACUUACUUCUAACAGAAUAUGGUGAAUGUGAUAGUGUGUGGAUUUUGAGAAUACCUAAAAAAAUCAUUGUGUUUUUUCUCUUGAUCCCUCUUUUGGAUCACUCACUCUGAGGGGAGGCCAGCUGCCAUGCUGUGAAAACACUCAAGCAGUCUCACAGAGUGUUCAAAUGGCAAGGUACUGAGGUGCCCUGGCAACGGCAAGGAACUGAGGCCUUCAUCCAAAGCCAUUAAGUGAGCCAUACUGGAAGCAGGUGCUCCGGUCCCUGGUGGUCUUGAGAUGACAGCAGCUUCAGUGUCUUGACUGCAACCUCAAGAAAGACCUUGAGCCAAAGCCAUCCAGAAGGAAAACAAAAAGAUGCCUUAGUUCCAUGGAAGGCUGCUCUGAGGGAUAUUCUGCUAAGUGGCAUCCAGACAGAACACGGAGAAGCUCCUCGAUUGCGUCUCUCCCCUGCCUUAUUGUUUCCUGCUGCCCUUGACACUCCACUGUUUGGGCUAUUGCAAGGUUAGAAGGAUGCUCACGACCAACGAGACAGAGUCCUUUGCAUAUGGCCUUGAGGAUGUGUGCUUCUGAAAUCUAACAAAGCUUCUACCAUGCUUCUCCACCAUCUAGGAAAACAAGAAAUGAAGUUUCCUGGAGAGCUUGGAUUUCCCUAUG